AACGAACGCUGGCGGCAUGCCUAACACAUGCAAGUCGAACGAGACCUUCGGGUCUAGUGGCGCACGGGUGCGUAACACGUGGGAAUCUGCCCUUUGCUUCGGAAUAACAGUUAGAAAUGACUGCUAAUACCGGAUGAUGUCUAAAGACCAAAGAUUUAUCGGCAAAGGAUGAGCCCGCGUAGGAUUAGGUAGUUGGUGGGGUAAAGGCCUACCAAGCCGACGAUCCUUAGCUGGUCUGAGAGGAUGAUCAGCCACACUGGGACUGAGACACGGCCCAGACUCCUACGGGAGGCAGCAGUGGGGAAUAUUGGACAAUGGGCGAAAGCCUGAUCCAGCAAUGCCGCGUGAGUGAUGAAGGCCUUAGGGUUGUAAAGCUCUUUUACCAGGGAUGAUAAUGACAGUACCUGGAGAAUAAGCUCCGGCUAACUCCGUG
rnacentral:rRNA from 1 species